rnacentral:rRNA from 1 species
UACGUAGGGGGCAAGCGUUGUCCGGAAUCAUUGGGCGUAAAGCGCGUGUAGGCGGCCUGAUCAGUCUGCUGUGAAAGUCCAGGGCUCAACCCUGGGAUGCCGGUGGAUACUGUCAGGCUGGAGUGCGGGAGAGGCGAGUGGAAUUCCUGGUGUAGCGGUGAAAUGCGCAGAUAUCAGGAGGAACACCAAUUGCGAAGGCAGCUCGCUGGAACGUUACUGACGCUGAGACGCGAAAGCGUGGGGAGCAAACAGG